rnacentral:lncRNA from 1 species
UAUUUUGUAUUAUUUAAAAAAAUAUUAAUGAGGAUGGUGACCACGACCAUCCGAUGCUUGGAAGCCAUGUGCUAUAAAUUUGGAAUUUGAAGGGAAAGCUGUGGUAGAUAGGUUGUAGGGGUGAAGAUGGCAGGGAAGGGAGGAAGGAGGAGGCGCUAUGGUUUCUGUGGGUUGAGAGGUAGAAGAGGGUGAGAUUGAGAGAGCUGAGAGCACAAGGAGAUGGAUCUUUUUUUUUUCUUUUUUUAAUCUUUUUCAGAGUUAACUAUUAAAUUAGAGUUGGUAGUUGACAGGUGUCAAGCUCUAAGAAAGGCCACAAUGAUGUCACAAAGACUUUUGGGUGCAAAAAAUUUCAACUCCAUCAAAGCCGGCCUUCUUUUUUUUUCUGCAAAUAUCAUCAUGACCCUUUUAUCUUUUCAGCAAUAUCAUCAUUAUAUUAAAUACUUUUCUUUUCUUCACCAUCUUCUCUCAUCAACUUGUCCACUCUAUUUACCCACAUCUAGAAUCAAAGUGAUUCUAAACAUGUCCAAUUUUGAAUGUCAAAUUCUAAUUCCUUGCGUGUAUGAUACCAUGCCAAGUUCGAGUUAGUCAAAACAUUUAGCCUAUGUUUUGGGUGAGGAAAUUCCAAGUUCCAAGAGAUUGAGCGCAUUUAAAACAAAAUGUUAGAUGAAGGGGUUAGAAAAGCCUUCUUCAUGAGCAUUGCAAAAGUAUAGAAAUGAACCAAAUCGAGCCACAUUCUCAGGAUGUACAAAUGAAUCAAACCGAGCCAAAGCAUUCACAACUCUAUUUAUUAAACGGACCUAACAGUGGCACACUCGCAGUUCAUACAAUUUGUUUGCCUAUGCGAGUGACUUCAAAAUUUUGGAGUAAGCAAUCAAACCACAUAGUUUCCAACUUUUUACACAUGUGGCAUGUGGCAUGUGGCAUGUGGUGUGGAUUACAGAUAUACAUCAAAAUACAAGGCUCUGCUGACUUUAGUAUGCAAGUGGGGGUCGUCUGAUUUGGUAGGGUCAAUUGGGCGCGUUUCGCCAAACCAGAUUGGCGUGAGUUACGGAGCAGGUGGGUGUAAAAUGUAUUUGGCCUCGCAAGUUUCGCAGCAACAUCCGUGCACGCUUGUCACACACCUAAGUCCCAGUAACCAAGACUAGAUUGUAACACCACAUUUUUAGGGGAUUGGAUCCUCUCCUGAGCUAAUGGAGAGGAUCCUCCUGAUCAACUAUUGUGGACCGUUGGAUGAAAAUCCAACGGUUACAAAUAAAAAGAUCUUUUUAAAGUUAUAAUAAUUAUAGCCGUUGGAUUUUCAUCCAACGAAAAUCCAACGACCCGUAAUUGUUGGUCAAAGGGAUCUUCUCCAUUAGCUCAGGAGAGGAUCUAAAUCCCAUUUUUGGUGCGCUUUAGAUCGCAAGUUUUCUAGGAGAAAUUUUUAGUUGGAGUAGGAACACAAAUGGUACAUCACGUGUUGUUAUGCAAGUGGUGGAAAAUUUUAAUUUUUAAGUUAUUAACCUUUUGACACAUAUAAUCCACAAUUUCUAUAGGAACGUGUGAUAUAUCACCUCGUGUGACGAUCAUCCUGAAAAAUCUCUCAUUUUCUAGGAACGUUUAACUUUAUCAUUUCUAACUUCUUUUACAUUUGAAGAAAACAAUAAUACUUUUGAGGGUGAUUCUCACUGUUUCGUGUGAGUGAUUCCCAAUCGUGUUCAAAUUUCGUGCCGCCGAUCCUAGCUGCGGCUGGGAUCGGUGGGUGUUCCUUUUCUUCUCCCCUUCGCUGCUUUUUCCCCUGCUUUUUGGAUCGAUCUAACCUCUUCUCAUCCCACCGGUGUAUCUCCUCCUCCUUCCUCUAAUUCCCAACCUUUAGUCAAGUUUUGCCGCGAUUUGUUGCGGUUUGUCGAGUCGGUAAGUACAGAUCUGGUGCUUCCACUGGAUCGGGUGUUUCUAACACCACCACCUUCUCUUUGCGGUCUGCCUUUGUUGGUAAUGUUGCUCGUGGAUUUCCACGCGCUUCUUUCACUUUGUUGCAGGUUCUUUAGAAUCUGUGCUCUACUCGGACUGAAUAUUGGAAUUUUGGUUGUGGCUUGUAAUUGGCUGUUGUGUGGAUGCCUCUAACCCUCCUCUUAGAGCAGUUCCACCAUGGGCUAUUGCCAGUUGGACUGGCUUUGGAACAGGGCCAGAUAACCCGAGCGAGAUGCUCCAGCGUGUGCUGGCGAUGCACCGCCUUCGCCCCCACGCACUCGCGAUCCCCCUCCUUCCACUCGCGCGCCCAGAUCGAACGAUUUGGGAUUUGUUUUGGGGGGAAAGAGGAAAGAGAAAGAGAGAGAGAGAGAGAGAGAGAGAGAGAGAGAGAGAGUUUAGUUUGGGAGCGGGGAAGAUCGGGACCGUUGAUGGAGGCUGAGCUGGGAGGGAUGGUGAAGAUGGAGAAAGAGAGGCGGCGGUGGGGUGGUGAUGCUGAUGAUCACUGUGUCUCUGUGUCUGUGUGUAAGGAUUAAAGAAGAAAGAAUCAAAGCAUGAGUUUUGAUGGGUUCUUGAUGGAUUUUAGAGAGAGAAAGAGAGGAGACAGAGAGAGAGAGUAAUGAAAACCAGAGGCCACGCCUGCUGCUAGAAACAGAGAGAAAACACAGAGCACAAAACAAAGCAAAAAGAUGAGAGAAGAGAGAGAGAGAGGGAGAGUGAGUGAGUCCAUUCCCUUUUUUCACACGGUCUUAUAAUAUUUAAUUAAUUAAUUUUCUAAUAAAAAAUGGUAGAACGAACCCGAUUAAAAAUUCUAUCCGAAAUUACAAAUAAAAUUAUUUUGUAUUAUUUUUAAGGUUAAAAGACUGUUUACUACUCUCAUGUUUCAUUGUUUUCAACAUGUUUCAUUGUUUUCAACAUUUAGUACAUCAUUGUUUUUUCGUCACAGACUCAUAUCUAAAGUGUAAAUUUUGGGACAGUUUCAUAUAUUCGUUAGUUAAAAUGUUAAGUCUCCCGUUAACUGUGACGUGGCGUCCAUAUGAACAAUGACUAAGCGCCACGUGGGUCCACAUGGAUUUGUUUUUUAGGGGUUCAAAAAAACAUUUUCCGACAACCAUGUACCUACAUCUUUUCCUGCCAAAAGUUUUUGAAAAAAAAAUCAUCGACUUUUUUUUUUUUUUUUCUUCUUCCUCGCGGGGACGAUUGGGUUCCUGAUUGUGUUUUUUUUGCUUUUUUACCUCCUCCUCCUCCUCCUCCUCCUCCUUCUUCUUCUUCUUCUUCUGGGUUUUGGAGGUUGGGUUUUCUUCUCUUCCUCCAAAUCUGGGUUGUAGAUUCGGUUUUUUUUUUCUUUCUUUUUUUCUUCUUCCUUCUUCCUCCAAAUCUGGGUUGCAGAUUCCGUUUUUUUUUCUUCUUCCUCCGAAUCUGGGGAAGAUGAAGGCUUUUUUUUUUCCUUCUUCUUCUUCCUUCUUCUUCUUCUUCUGGGUUGCAGAUUCGGUUUUUUUUUUUCUUCUUCUUCCUCCUCUUUCUUCUUCUUCUUCUAGGUUGCAGAUUCAGUUUUUUAUUUUUUUCUUCCUCUUCCUUUUUCUUUUCCUUUUCUGGGUUUUUACUUUUUGUUCUUCUUCUGGGUUGGCGUUGGGGAGGUUGAGGGAGCGGACGACGGGGGAAGAGGAGGGAGGGAGAGGUUGGCGCUGUCGGACUCAAACAUUGGAGGGUUCAGGUGUGUGUGGUGAGGUUAGUGUCGGAAAUGGCGAAGCUUGAUAAAAUUGGGUGGUGGGUGUCUUGAUAAAAUUGGGGGAUGAAAUGGGUUCUGUUAUGUGGGUAUCAGGGAAAGGAAGGGUGUCGGUGGGUAGGGGUGGAGGCGAUAGAGGAGUGGAGCCGUGGAGGGGGUGGAGGGUGGGGAAGACGAAAGGGAACUGGGAGGGUGGGAUUUGGGGAAGACGAAGGGGUGGGUGAUAGGAGGGUGGGAGGCUGGGCACAGGUGGGAUUUGGGGAAGAAGGGGUUUUUUUUUUCUUUUAAUUUUUAAAUUAUUUUAAUUUAUUAAAUUAUUUUAUUUUAUAAAUACUUUAUUUUUAAUUUCCACGUGGAUGACAUGUAGUGCUCAGUCAUUAUCCACAUGGGCGCCACAUCAUCACUUAACUGGAAACUUAACCGUUUGACUAAAGGAUGUAUGAGACUGUCCCAAAAUUUACACUUUAGGUAUGACUCUGGGAUGAAAAAAAAAUUAUGUACUAAAUGUUGAAAACCUCAAAACAUGAGGGUAGUAAACAGUCUUUUGCCCUAUUUAAAAAAAAAAUACUAAUAUUUUAUUGACUAUUACCAGAGCUUUCAGUGUAGGAAUAGAGAUGCAAAAGACAGUUGCUAUUCAUUAAAAUCAAUUAUUGUUCACUGAAUGAAUUAAAUAAUGAAUAGUCCGGGAGGUCUUAGCAACGGUGAAACUGCUCUUAAGACCUCUAUUUAUAGAUUUACCAAAUAGAUUAGAGGCUAAACCAAAUCUACCACGACAAGCACAUUCUAUAUUGUUUAAUUAAUAAAUAACUAGUAGAUGGUCAUACACAUUAUGUUCAUUUUAUUUUGUUUUGUAUUAUAUAAAGCGUUGAUAAUUUCAAAAAGUCUAAAAAAUAAUAAUUAUGAGACAAUAAUGUCGUAGUUUUUUUUUAGGAAACUGUUAUUAGCAUUUCAAAAUCUCAUUCUACAUUCCUCAUAAGUGUAUUCUUCUUUCUAAUUAUAGAAAUGAGAUUUUUGGAGUGUUAAUAACAAUUUCUUUUUUUUUUUAACAUGGACAUUCUUCUAUUUUUAUUUUCAAGAUCAUAUUCAAAAGAGAUGUCAAAUAUGUCAAAUAUGAUUAAAAGACAUCCAGGUGUUCUUCAAUGGAUAUGCCAUAUAUAAUGUGGCAUGUGAUUCAUUUGACUCCUUACUUUCUACCUGCCUUUGUUUUACAACAAACAAAGAAUGAGUCAAAUAUAUUUAAUUUAAUUUUUUUAAUGCAUGGAUCCUAUUAACAACCAAUAGAAUAAAAAUUAAAACUAAUUUUGAUUAUUUUUUAGUAGUUAAUGUAACUCUAGGGCUAAGCCCAAUAAAUAAUAAAAUAAAGGGUAAAAGACUGUUUACUACCCUCAUGUUUCGUGGUUUUCAAUAUUUAGUACAUCAUGUUUUUUUCGUCUCAGAGUCAUACCUAAAGUGUAAAUUUUGGGACAGUCUCAUACAUCCGUUAGUCAAACUGUUAAGUUUUUCGUUAACUGUGACGUGGCGCACUGACUGGGCGCCACGUCUCAUCCACGUUUUUAUUUUUUAUUUUUUAUUUUUUUCUUUCUUUUCUUUUCUUCUUCUUCCUUCUUCUUCUUCUUCCUCCGACUGCAACUUUCUGUUUUUUUUUUUUUUUUUCCUUUUUCCUUUUCUUCCCUCCUUCCUCCUUCCUUUCCCUUUCUUCCCCUUCUUCCUUCUUCUUCCUUCUUCUUCCUUCUUCUUCCUCCGAAAUCUGGGGAAUGUUUUUUUUUUUUUUUCUUUCUUCUUCUUCCUUCUUCUUCCUUCCCCUUCUUUCUUCUUCUUCCUUCUCCUUCUUCUUCUUCUUCCUCCAAAAUCUGGAGAAGUUUGUUUUUUUUUUUUUUUUUCUUUCUUUCUUCUUCUUCCUCCUUCUUCUUCUUCUUCUUCCUCAAAAAAAAAAAAAAAAAAAAAAAAAAAAACACUUUUAUCUUUUCUUCCUCUUCUUCUUCUUCUUCUUUCUCUUUCCUCCUUCCUUCUUCUUCCUUCGAAUCUGUCCAGAUUCAGUUUUUUUUUUUUUCUUCUCUCUUCUCUUCUUCUCCUUCCCCUUCUUCGUUCUUCUUCUUCUUCCUCCGAAUUUGGGGGAAGAUGAAAGUGUUUUUUUUUUUUUUUUGAGGAAGAAGAAAGAAGAAAAAAAAAAAAAAAAAAAAAAAAAAAAAAAAACUUCCCCAGAUUUCGGAGGAAGAAGAAGAAGAAGAAGAAGAAGGAGAAGGAAGAAGAAGGAAGAAGGGGAAGGAAGAAGGAGGAAGAAGAAGAAAGAAAAAAAAAAAACAUUCCCCAGAUUUCAGAGGAAGAAGAAGGAAGAAGAAUGAAGAAAGGGAAAGGAAGAAAGAAGGAAAAGGAAGAAGCAAAAAAAAAAAAAACAAAAAAAAACAGAAAGUUGCAGUCGGAGGAAGAAGAAGGAAGAAGAAGAAAAGAAAAGAAAGAAAAAAGAAAAAAAGAAAAAACGUGGAUGACACGUGGUGCCCAGUCAGUGCGCCACGUCACAGUUAACGAAAAACUUAACAGUUUGACUAACGGAUGUAUGAGACUGUCCCAAAAUUUACACUUUAGGUAUGACUCUGAGACGAAAAAAACUUGAUGUACUAAAUGUUGAAAACCACGAAACAUGAGGGUAGUAAACAGUCUUUUACCCUAAAAUAAAUAUUUAGCACAUCUAUUGAAAAAAUAAAAGGAUUUAACACUCGUAUUCAAUUUACUAUUUUUGAUAUAUUAUAUUUGAUAUCUCAUUUGAAUAUGCUCUAAAUGAGACAUGAUAUGCUUUCAUAGAUGUGAAGGUGAUAUUAAAAAAAAUAAAAAAAAGUUCAUGAAAUUACUAGAUUAUGUAAGAACGCAUAUUUUGGUUAGGUUUCUGUGAAGUUUAAAAUUAGGGAACUUUAAAGAAAAACUUUCAGUACUAUUCAUUUUAACGAAAAAUUAUAUUUUUACGCUAAAAAAUUAAUCUUGCUACUAUUUAUUUUACCCUUUAUUUUGUUUAAAAUUUAAAAUUUUCAAAUCAUUUUUAUUAAUUUUCUUUUAAAAUUAAGAAGUGGGUUCCUUUCCCACUGUCGUCAAAGCGAGUUGAAAUCUUCUGCACCCAAAAGCCACUGUGGCUACCUUGUAGCCUCUCUCAGGAUUUGACACCUGUCCGCUACUAACUUCACUUUUAAACACUGUUAACUCUCUGAACAAAUUUAAAAAAAAGACAACAAUAAGCGUAAAACCAGAAGCUCAUCCGUCCCUGAUCUCUCCCACCGAACGCCAAACGCCGACCACCACCAAAGCAUCCCACAACCAUCCCUCUCGGCCUCUUGAUUGAGAAUAUCGCUGUAUUCUUCCAGAUCCCCGAUACUACAAACCCACUUCAAGACCCGCCAUAUCCGUGAGGUCGGCGGCUACCAGUCGGCGUUACGAGAAAUCGAAGCCCUCCGCCGCCAUUGAUGGGGCUUUUCCCAGUAUAUUCUUUCGCGCUUUAAUCUUUGUACAAUUACAAAACCAUCACUUGGAAGAAGACGACUUUUGGUGUUGGGAGGAUAAUGAGGACGGUGGCGACGACCGUCCGAUGAUUGGAAGCCAUGUGCUAUAAAUUUGGAAUUUGAAAGGAAAGCUGUGGUAGAUAGGUUGUAGGGGUGAAGAUGGCAGGGAAGGGAGGAAGGAGGAGGCGCUAUGGUUUCUGUGGGUUGAGAGGUAGAAGAGGGUGAGAUUGAGAGAGCUGAGAGAGCAAAUAGAUGGAUCUUUUUUUUUCUUUUUUUUUUUUAUAAUCUUUUUCAGAGUUAACGGUGUUAAACUAGAGUUAGUAGUUGACAGGUGUCAAACUCUAAGAAAGGCCACAGGGAUGUCACAGAGGCUUUUGGGUGCAGAAAAUUUCAACUCCGUCAAAGCCGGCCUUCUUUCUUCUUCUGCAAAUAUCAUCAUGACCCUUCUAUCUUUUCAGCAAUAUCAUCAUUAUAUUAAAUACUUUUCUUUUGUAUGCAAGUGGGGGUCGUCUGAUUUGGUAAGGUCAAGUGGGGGUCGUCUGAUUGGCGUAAGUUACGGAGCAGGUGGGUGUAACAUGUAUUUGGCCUCGGAAGUUUCGCAGCAACAUCCGCGCACCCUCGUCACACCUAAGUCCCAGUAACCAAGACUAGAUUGUAACACCACAUUUUUGGUGCGCUGGUCAAGCCGCCACGUGAACCAGUCACUUAACAGAUAGUUUUCUAAGAGAAAUUUUUAGUUGUGACAAAAACACGAAUAGUACACCACGUGUUGUUAUGCAAGUGAUGAAAAAUUUUAAUUUUUAAAUUAUUAACCUUAUAACACAUAUAACCCAUC